GCAUUAAUGGGGUAGUGGUAACCUGGGUCGUUGCCAUGUUUCGGAACUGACCACUAGUUUCGACCCGCCGGGGGUUCGAUUCCCUCUUAAUGCA
rnacentral:tRNA from 1 species